CGUAAAUGAUUCUUAGAAAGUUCUAAAAAUAUAUUAUAAACUGCUCCGCCGCAUCUGUCAGACUGUCUGAACGCGAUAAACACAAAAACUACCCUAAGAAUUUCUACGAAAUUUGUUUAAGAUAGUUGGAUACCUUAGGAAGGACAUAGACUACUUUCUAUCCCGGGAAAUAAGUAGAGGGACUUUUUUCCCGGCAAACUCUUUCACGCGGGCGAAGCCGCGAGAAUAAACUUUAUUUUAUAUACAUUUGGGACGAGGUUCGAACACUCAAUGGCCUCUUCAAACAGGCCCCUCAACUAACCUCACAUACUGUAGAGUUAAGUAUACAAUUCCAUCCAUAAUUAGUAUCAAGAACUAACAUAGAUGCUGUACCGCGUCACAGCACUUUAAACUCAAGUGCUUUACUCACAAGAACCCAUAUUUUUACAUUAUCCGUGCUAGCCAAGACCUCUAGUGAGUUGUUAGCUGACCUGCAGUAAUUCAGUGUCGAGAACUCGCUGAGUGCUGGAUAAAUGUAGCUAUGUAGUUUAGGUAAAAUAUCUGAAAUUGCUAGAGGAAUACAGACUCUAUGUGUUUAUCUUUAUAGGUAUCGAUUAUGUGCCUUAUUAUGUAGCAGCCAAGGUGUAUGUGGUGUAAAUCUCGUGAUACUUGAUCCUGCGACUGAGAUUUGUCGUCGCAGAUAUUACAAAGCAAUAUUCAAGUAAGUUGGUAACCUAGAGCGCCAAUUAACCCCACCAUUGGCUCACCAUGAGAGACAAAUAAAUUACAAACAAGGCUCAUUACCUUCACCAGAGAUUUCGUCGUUUAUUCGUCCGACCACCAUACCGACCAGAGUAUAGCAGUGGCGAGUACAGUAGUGGCAUCAGGUCGUGUGUAACUAAAAUUAUUUUUAUUGAUAUUUAUUUGUUCGACAAUUACACUUCUUUAUUUUACAUCUGCAGUUCAAGUAAUUUAUUGUAAAGUUUUAAUAUCAACAAGACAAGUAUUUGGUUUUAAUUAGCAACGCAAUGUCAAAAUGACCCUGUACAAUUUUUAUGGGAAAUUAUUUCACUAUACCUACCACGUAUGUCUUAGAAAAAUACCGACCAGCAAGAUAACUUAUUUCCUUUAAUUAUCGGCAUAAUAAGAUGCAAUAUUUUAUUAUUUAUUUUUGCUCACAAUUUUUGCUGUCCGUGAUCUCAACUAACAAACGACCUAACGGAAGAUUAGCGCUGGCUCCAUUGUCAGCAUGUUGCUAAGUUGGAGCCUUUUUUGUGACAUAGUUUUAACAGAUUUUUUAUAUGUUUCGACUGUUUGUCAUAUUUAUGUAUCUUGUGUUUUGCAAAAUAAAUGUCUUUCUUUUUUUUCUUUCUUCCAAUAUUUAUAUGCUUAGUAUGGCCAUGAUAACGGUUCGGUAUUAUAACAUACAAGUAAAGAAAGAUACAGUGAAAUAAAAUGUACUCAGUUGUCA